GUCCCCGUAGCUCAGUUGGAUAGAGCGGCGGUUUCCUAAACCGCAGGUCGGCUGUUCGAAUCAGCCCGGGGACGCCA
rnacentral:tRNA from 3 species